GUGGGGAACCUUGCGCAAUGGGCGAAAGCCUGACGCAGCCAUGCCGCGUGAAUGGUGAAGGUCUUAGGAUUGUAAAAUUCUUUCACCGGGGACGAUAAUGACGGUACCCGGAGAAGAAGCUCCGGCUAACUUCGUGCCAGCAGCCGCGGUAAUACGAAGGGGGCUAGCGUUGCUCGGAAUUACUGGGCGUAAAGGGCGCGUAGGCGGACAGGUUAGUCAGAGGUGAAAGCCCAGGGCUCAACCUUGGAAUUGCCUUUGAUACUGGCUGUCUUGAGUUUGGGAGAGGUGAGUGGAACUCCGAGUGUAGGGGUGAAAUUCGUAGAUAUUCGGAAGAACACCAGUGGCGAAGGCGACUCACUGGCCCGUUACUGACGCUGAGGCGCGAAAGCGUGGGGAGCAAACAGGAUUAGAAACCCUAGUAGUCC
rnacentral:rRNA from 1 species